rnacentral:rRNA from 1 species
AGAGUUUGAUCAUGGCUCAGGACGAACGCUGGCGGCGCGCCUAACACAUGCAAGUCGAGCGAGAACCAGGGCUUCGGCCCUGGGGAAAGCGGCGAACGGGUGAGUAACACGUGGAUAACCUGCCCUCGGCACCGGAAUAGCCCGGGGAAACCCGGAUUAAUGCCGGAUAGCCCCACAUCCCUGCGGGGAACGUGGGAAAAGGUAGCUUCGGCCUCUGGCCGAGGAUGGGUCCGCGGUGGAUUAGCUUGUUGGUGCGGGUAAUGGCCCACCAAGGCGACGAUCCAUAGCUGGUCUGAGAGGACGAUCAGCCACACUGGGACUGAGACACGGCCCAGACUCCUACGGGAGGCAGCAGUGGGGAAUCUUGCGCAAUGGGCGAAAGCCUGACGCAGCGACGCCGCGUGCGGGAAGAAGGCCUUCGGGUUGUAAACCGCUUUCAGGAGGGACGAAGCCACUCGGGUGAAUAGCCCAGAGGGUGACGGUACC